AAUGUCUUUUGUCAUUUCAGUUCAUAUAUGCAUUAGUAUAUUUUACUAUUAGUAUAUACUAAUAGCAAGCUAAUAAAAAAUACAAUGAGGUGGAAACCAAUAUAAAUUAUAUUUUAGAUGAACACAAUCUUCCUUACGCUCUUUAAUGUAAAAAUCACGUAUGAAUUUCAGAAUGAAAUAUAAAUCAUUCAAUUUGUGAAACAUUAAAGACUAUGAGUGUCCAGCAUGUUAACUUUCACUUCCGUAAUGUGUCAAACCUGUUUGAUCAGUUUAAAACAAAGGGGUAUGAAGUAGAAUAUGUAAAGCUUUAAAAGAAAGAAAUGGUUAAAUAAUUUUUAAUGUUAUAAUAUAGAGUUGUAUUAUAUAAAUUAAACAUGAAUUAGACUUGGAUGUGAGAAAUUGAUGAAUGACUUUUAAAAUUGAUUGACACAUGGACCCAUGCUCUGAUACAAUCUCAUACAAACUAUUUUUCCCGUAUUAAAAUUAAAUAUUUUUCUUGUUGUAAUAAAAAGGUACAGGGCAGAGAAAAUAUGGCCUGAUAAAAUUGAUAUCUUUAAUGUUACUGUGAGUUUUGGCAUUAAACAACAAUAGAGGCAAAAUGUAAAAACACACUUAGCUUGGUUUCAGAAGUAAGCGAGUUAUCUAAUCGAAUCUUAUCGAAUCUAUUGUACAGGUGAGGGGUCAGUCAGGUGCACACUCAGGUAUAGGUGACAAAGAUCAGCCAUUUUGAUUAGCAUGACUAAGCGCUUUCCUUACCAUCUAUGUUGUGUGGCUGUAAUGGGAUUGGGAGGCUGUAGACGCAAUUUUGUUUUGAUGAAGGUGCAACCAAUUAGUCAAACUCUCCCAGGUCAUGGAGACGUCUCAAAAGUCAUGGUUUCCAAGGAGGCAGACCAGGGCGUGCACCUAAGAAAUAAACUUCUGGUGUUACAAUGUUUUUGUUGUUUCUAAUAAUAAUUGUGAAGAAAUUGCAUAAGUGCAUCGUGAAACUGGAAGUGGUCCAGGCUGUAUGGUAAUAUGCUUACAUCAAAAGCCUUUGGGGUCUGUUGCAAAAUAAGCGGCAUUUUAAAGGAAAUAUAUAAAGCUAUAAAACGAAGACAAGCCAGUCAGGAAAAUAGAUAAUCAUUAACAAACACCUUACAAUGUCUUACUUAAAUACAGUAACUCAUUUUAUAUUGACAGAGAAAAGCAUAGAGCCCUUGACUCCCCUCAUGUUUCAUGCUGAACUGAAAAGAAUUAGAUGGAACAAAAAAUCAAUGUGGCAAACACUGGAUGCCCAUCUCCAUCUUACAAGGCAGUUUUGGAUGUUUUAUCUUCUCUAAUACUGCCUGGUAAUGAUGCAGAUGGUCCUCCACGAGCGUCGUUAAAAAUGCUUUGCAUCUGGGUGUGGACAUGCAGGCUAUGCAAAUACAAGCACAUACAAAUACACAAAGGAAAAUAUGUUGUGGUUUUCUGUGAAUUCUUUGGCUGUUUCAUUUGAAUACUAUCAUGCAGAAGAAGUUCGUUAAUUGUCUCUAGGGUACAUCUUACCUGGCAGUGCUUGGCUGUUCACUGAUGUUCUAACACUGUCUGGUAACGAUGCACUCUGGGGGCUCAGUGACCAUGACUUUAAUAGAAAAAGGAAUAUAAAAUGCUUUUAAAAAAAUUAAAAUGUGAUCAACUAUGGAAUGUAGAAUAUUUUGACUUUAGAAUGUUUAAAUGCUUUUUAAUAAAUCAAGUUAAUGAUUUAAAACAGGAAGACCGGAUGAGACUGCUUGAUAAUAAUAAAAGGAAAUAUAAUUAAAAGAAGCCAUCAGUAAAGUUCUGAACCCCACCCUGUUAUGUCCAAAUGCCUUCAUGAAUGUCACAAAAGUAAUUCCUUCUUACUCCCAUACCCUCUAAUGUGUAAUGUGCUAUUCAGCGAUCAGUUCAUCCUCCUUUUCUUGCAUCUUAUUGUGUGCAUGACACCCGAGAUCUGUGUGACAAGCACUAAUUAGAGUGCACCUACACAGUUCACCUUUCCUGUUCGCCGUGGCAAAGAGGAAGUAAUGCCAGUCAUUAUGCAUCCUACGAUGGAAUGUGCAAAGAAAAGUCAAAAUCUUUAUGUGGUUUAAACAAGUAAAUAAUAAAGAAGAGAUAUAAAUAAAACAUACUGAUGGGACAACUUAUAUGACAAAUUUAUGAAAAAAAAAGGAAAAUCUAUCUGCAGGCAUGACUCAGUAAAACAUUUGGUUGUAUUCUGAAUGGGAAGAAGGAAAUCAUGCAUUUUCUAUUCAAUUUGUAAUUUCAGGGGCAUGUUGAACUGUCAUCUUUUACUGGUCGUUCCAAACCUAUAUGAGACAAACGAUCACAGAAGAAGAUAUUUAGAAGAAUAUUGCAGCUGUUUUUGUCUAUAUAAAACAUAAACUGACAGAGUUGUCUCAAAAAUCCAUUUGGAUGUUGAUGCUUGGUUCUGACAGUGACUCUUUGAACCUCUGCUUGCACUUUAUCCUUUACUAAUAGACCCUUUAAACAGUUUCCUUCAAGAACUUUCUCCUGAAAAAAUAACCACUUUAAUUCUGUCAUUCUGCUUUCAUCUCUUCUGCAGUCACAUGACAUCAGAUCCUUUCCUCUGCCUCUCCGCUGCAGUAAAAUCCUCUGAUUUGUGUCUUACCAGGCAAGUUUAGAUGUUGAUACUCUGUCCCAUUUUUCCUUUUCCCUCCAUACCUACACUGCCACAAUGGGACAGUUUUUUCCAGUUAUUUAUUUAAUUUUUAAACAGUGUUCAGAGUUAUCUAAAAAAAUAAGUAAUAAGAAUGCCAUACCUGAUAUAUCUAAUUUUCUUAUAACAUGACAUGUAUUAAAAAAUAUGGUUCUGACUCUUCCUUGUCAUAUUGUUUAACUUAUUUUGUUUAAAUGUAAUGUCACUACAUGUACAUAUAUUAUGUAUUUUGGUCAAUAAACACUACUAAAACUGAAUUCCAAUCAAA
ensembl:lncRNA